CCGCACAAGCGGUGGAGCAUGUGGUUUAAUUCGAUGCAACGCGAAGAACCUUACCUGGCCUUGACAUCCACGGAAUUCGGCAGAGAUGCCUUAGUGCCUUCGGGAACCGUGAGACAGGUGCUGCAUGGCUGUCGUCAGCUCGUGUUGUGAAAUGUUGGGUUAAGUCCCGCAACGAGCGCAACCCUUAUCCUUUGUUGCCAGCGAGUAAUGUCGGGAACUCAAAGGAGACUGCCGGUGACAAACCGGAGGAAGGUGGGGAUGACGUCAAGUCAUCAUGGCCCUUACGGCCAGGGCUACACACGUGCUACAAUGGCGCAUACAAAGAGAAGCGAACUCGCGAGAGCAAGCGGACCUCACAAAGUGCGUCGUAGUCCGGAUCGGAGUCUGCAACUCGACUCCGUGAAGUCGGAAUCGCUAGUAAUCGUAGAUCAGAAUGCUACG
rnacentral:rRNA from 5 species